rnacentral:rRNA from 1 species
CGCGUAGGCGGACUUUCAAGUCGGAUGUGAAAACUAUCGGCUCAACUGAUAGCCUGCAUUCGAUACUGUUGGUCUUGAGUACAGGAGAGGAGAGCGGAAUUCCAGGUGUAGCGGUGAAAUGCGUAGAUAUCUGGAAGAACACCGGUAGCGAAGGCGGCUCUCUGGACUGAUACUGACGCUAAAGCGCGAAGGCUUGGGUAGCAAACA